rnacentral:rRNA from 1 species
UACAGGGGGUGCAAACGUUGCUCGGAAUUAUUGGGCGUAAAGCGCGCGUAGGCGGCCGCUUAAGUCGGAUGUGAAAGCCCCUGGCUCAACUGGGGAAGUGCACCCGAAACUGAGUGGCUUGAGUACUAAAGAGGGUCGCGGAAUUCCCGGUGUAGAGGUGAAAUUCGUAGAUAUCGGGAGGAACACCGGCGGCGAAGGCGGCGACCUGGGUAGAUACUGACGCUGAGGCGCGAAAGCGUGGGGAGCAAACAGG